GUGGUAAUGCCGGAUGCUCCAUCACACCGCAUGGUGUGUUGGGAAAGCCUUUGCGGCAUGGGAUGGGGUCGCGUCCUAUCAGCUUGAUGGCGGGGUAACGGCCCACCAUGGCUUCGACGGGUAGCCGGCCUGAGAGGGCGACCGGCCACAUUGGGACUGAGAUACGGCCCAGACUCCUACGGGAGGCAGCAGUGGGGAAUAUUGCACAAUGGGCGCAAGCCUGAUGCAGCGACGCCGCGUGAGGGAUGGAGGCCUUCGGGUUGUAAACCUCUUUUGUUAGGGAGCAAGGCACUUUGUGUUGAGUGUACCUUUCGAAUAAGCACCGGCUAACUACGUGCCAGCAGCCGCGGUAAUACGUAGGGUGCAAGCGUUAUCCGGAAUUAUUGGGCGUAAAGGGCUCGUAGGCGGUUCGUCGCGUCCGGUGUGAAAGUCCAUCGCUUAACGGUGGAUCCGCGCCGGGUACGGGCGGGCUUGAGUGCGGUAGGGGAGACUGGAAUUCCCGGUGUAACGGUGGAAUGUGUAGAUAUCGGGAAGAACACCA
rnacentral:rRNA from 1 species